rnacentral:rRNA from 1 species
UACGUAGGGUGCAAGCGUUAUUCGGAAUUACUGGGCGUAAAGCGUGCGCAGGCGGUUUUGUAAGCCUGUUGUGAAAUCCCCGGGCUUAACCUGGGAAUGGCGAUGGUGACUGCAAGGCUAGAGUUUGGCAGAGGGGGGUAGAAUUCCACGUGUAGCAGUGAAAUGCGUAGAUAUGUGGAGGAACACCGAUGGCGAAGGCAAUCCCCUGGACCUGUACUGACGCUCAUGCACGAAAGCGUGGGGAGCAAACAGG